CUCGUGCUAAUUUGGCGGAAAGUUGCAGGCAGAAUUUGUGAGGAUCACCACUUCUUCCCUUGUCUCAAAGUUCUUUGAACAACUUGACCAACACACUGCCCAGCUCAUCAAAGUGCUGAAGAAGAAGGGAGGCUCUGCAGGGAGGAAGAUUAGUCUAAUUUUGGCCCCUAUCGCACAGUGUGAAACAUUUGAAAAGAGGAGGGAGUGCAUCCUCAAGGCACUUUGUGUCUACCUCAGUGAAGACCCCAGCAUCCUCUUCAAAGAAUAACCGGACUCUGAUGGUGAAGCUGUUCAGAGGGAGCUGGACCAACUUACCUUGGGCAUCUACAGCAUCAAUGUUGAGGGAGGUGAUGCCACUACUCCUCCAGCUGAUGUUGGCAUAGUGAUCGAGGGUGUUGAAGUUCUGCAUGACUUGGGAGACAUAGCCUCAGCAUGUGCACUGAACCUCAGUUAUCCCAAGAAACUGAAAGCCUUCUUUGAAGUACUUCAGAAGCUCUUCCUCCAACUUGAUGCAUGCAGACUCUCAUCCAAGGUACAGAUGCUCAAGAACAAACUGUGUGAAUUAUCCAAUUGUUUGGAUGCUGAAAAUUGUUUGUUUGUUUGAAAUAUUAUUUUCUGGCAGAUAAACAUAGAGGAGUAUAUUUUGCAGUUUGAGGAGUAUACUUGGCAUAAUUCAUACAAAAAAGUAAGGAGAUUCGACCAUUUGUAACAACUUCAGGUGAAAACCACGCCCACUUUCAAGUUUAGUUAAACCAGUUCUGGGUUGUUCACACCCACCUGUUACAUCAACACAUUUUACAAUUAGAAGAAAAAUAGGCAGAAUAUUUUCAGCAAGGUGUUUGUUAAUUGGUUAGACCAUUAUGCUGUCAUGAAAAUUUGAAAGCUGCAAACAUUGAUUUGUCAUUGCAUUGGUAGUUUACAGCUGCUAGUGAUGGUGCAAGCUAUACCAAUGUUGCUGCCUGAAAGUAUGGCUAACAGUUAACAGUUCAUCAUGUUACUGUUCUGUUUUUUCUUGAAACCAACUGCACCAGAAUUUUAACUGCCAUGUUAAGAUGGACAAUAAACGAAAUAUGAAAAAU